AAUAUUGGACAAUGGGGGCAACCCUGAUCCAGCCAUGCCGCGUGUGUGAAGAAGGUCUUCGGAUUGUAAAGCACUUUAAGUUGGGAGGAAGGGCUUUAGGUUAAUACCCUGAAGUUUUGACGUUACCAACAGAAUAAGCACCGGCUAACUCUGUUCCAGCAGCCGCGGUAAUACAGAGGGUGCAAGCGUUAAUCGGAAUUACUGGGAGUAAAAGCCGGCGAGGGUGUUCAGUUAGGUGGGUGUGAAAGCACCGGGCUUAAACCGGGAAAUGCUUUUAGAACCGGUGAGCUAGAGUAAGGUAGAGGGGAGGGGAAUUUCCUGUGUAGCGGUGAAAUGCGUAGAUAUAGGAAGGAACACCAGUGGCGAAGGCGACUACCUGGAAUGAUACUGACACUGAGGUGCGAAAGCGUGGGGAGCAAACAGG
rnacentral:rRNA from 1 species